rnacentral:rRNA from 1 species
AUUGAACGCUGGCGGCAGGCCUAACACAUGCAAGUCGAGCGGAUGAAGGGAGCUUGCUCCUGGAUUCAGCGGCGGACGGGUGAGUAAUGCCUAGGAAUCUGCCUGGUAGUGGGGGAUAACGUCCGGAAACGGGCGCUAAUACCGCAUACGUCCUGAGGGAGAAAGUGGGGGAUCUUCGGACCUCACGCUAUCAGAUGAGCCUAGGUCGGAUUAGCUAGUUGGUGGGGUAAAGGCCUACCAAGGCGACGAUCCGUAACUGGUCUGAGAGGAUGAUCAGUCACACUGGAACUUAGCCACGGUCCAGACUCCUACGGGAGGCAGCAGUGGGGAAUAUUGGACAAUGGGCGGAAGCCUGAUCCAGCCAUGCCGCGUGUGUGAAGAAGGUCUUCGGAUUGUAAAGCACUUUAAGUUGGGAGGAAGGGCAGUAAGUUAAUACCUUGCUGUUUUGACGUUACCAACAGAAUAAGCACCGGCUAACUUCGUG